rnacentral:lncRNA from 1 species
AUGCGAUGGUUGGACUCUGUAGCUGUGCGGUCGACGAAGGUUGCAGAUCCACUGCAGUCGGAUCUACGGUGGCAAGCGGAAGGAGUGCGAGCCGGUGGUCCGUGUGCGGAAGAUUUUUGGGGGUGUGCGCGCGAGGAGGAGAUUGGAGUUGGCAAGAUCGGAGCAGCGCGGUCGCCUUACUAUGGAUGUGCGUGGGUUUGGAAGCUGAAGGCGUUAUCGAUCUCAGUUCUGGGCGUCAGAGGUCGAAGGUGUGAAGAACUGAGAAUUCGACGGCGAGCGAUGGUUGGUGGAGCGAAUCUGCAUGGUGAGAUUUGGAGGAGGCGUGCAGAGUCCGCGAUGACAUCCGGUUGUCGGGGAAAUGCUCUAAAGCAUUGGAUAAGAAAGAGUGCGAAGAUGUGA